rnacentral:rRNA from 1 species
GACGAACGCUGGCGGCGUGCUUAACACAUGCAAGUCGAGCGGUAAGGCCCUUUCGGGGGUACACGAGCGGCGAACGGGUGAGUAACACGUGGGUGACCUGCCCUCAGCUCUGGGAUAAGCCUGGGAAACCGGGUCUAAUACCGGAUAUGACUCCAUGACGCAUGCUGUGGGGUGGAAAGCCUUGUGCGGCUGAGGAUGGGCCCGCGGCCUAUCAGCUUGUUGGUGGGGUGANGGCCUACCAAGGCGACGACGGGUAGCCGGCCUGAGAGGGCGACCGGCCACACUGGGACUGAGACACGGCCCAGACUCCUACGGGAGGCAGCAGUGGGGAAUCUUGCGCAAUGGGCGAAAGCCUGACGCAGCGACGCCGCGUGAGGGAUGAC